GAUGAACGCUGGCGGCGUGCCUAAUACAUGCAAGUCGAGCGAAUGGAUUAAGAGCUUGCUCUUAUGAAGUUAGCGGCGGACGGGUGAGUAACACGUGGGUAACCUGCCCAUAAGACUGGGAUAACUCCGGGAAACCGGGGCUAAUACCGGAUAACAUUUUGAACCGCAUGGUUCGAAAUUGAAAGGCGGCUUCGGCUGUCACUUAUGGAUGGACCCGCGUCGCAUUAGCUAGUUGGUGAGGUAACGGCUCACCAAGGCAACGAUGCGUAGCCGACCUGAGAGGGUGGUCGGCCACACUGGGACUGAGACCCGGCCCAGACUCCUACGGGAGGCAGCAGUAGGGAAUCUUCCGCAAUGGACGAAAGUCUGACGGAGCAACGCCGAGUGAGUGAUGAAGGCUUUCGGGUCGUAAAACUCUGUUGUUAGGGAAGAACAAGUGCUAGUUGAAUAAGCUGGCACCUUGACGGUACCUAACCAGAAAGCCACGGCUAACUACGUGCCAGCCGCCGCAGUAA
rnacentral:rRNA from 1 species